AUGGAUACAAUCAGAAGAGAUGAAACUUCCCGCGGUGAGCACUCGAGCUCCUCAAGUUUCCGCAGCAAUCUCAGCUCAAAUUCGGACUCCAUUCAGCAACAAUCCUCCGAUUCAAGUUCUCAGAGAUCCACGUACACUGAGGUUGUUGGAACUGGACCACUCGAUGCUGUGCAAGAUAAUUCCACUGAGAUGCUUUAUUCGAGAAGAAGUGCAGAGGAUUUGCGUAGUGAGCAAUCGAGCAAAACGAGCUCAAGCACUGUCAGCUGCACCAGCUUAGGAUCAAGCAACAUCAGCUCCAGCAGCAGACAACCAAGCAACGGCAGCUUCAGAAGUUCAGGAUCGAGCAAUGGCAGCUCGAGCAGCAGCCGACGAUCAAGCAAUGGAAGCUCCAGCAGUUCGGGAUCUACAAGUGACAACUCGAGCAGCAACAUCAGCUCCAGCAGCAGACGAUCAAGCAAUGGCAGCUCCAGAAGCUCCAGCUCGAGCAGUGUCGGCUCGAUGAGCUCAAUUGCAAGCAAUGUCGGAAGUAUUGACUCAUUCAGUGACGGCUCAGUCAAUUCGAAUUCCAAUCAGCAACUCGUCCCAAAUCCAGAGAUCAUUCUUGCGGAUCCUCGUGCUCUGAGAGCCUGCAUGACGUACCAGAUUCUCCAGCAAAUGACUAGUUUUGAUGCCUACACUGAAAUGUGUGAAUCGCUUGGGACGGAUUUCAUGGAAUACCGCCGGUUCGACUACUGAUAUUGUGGAUUGGCCAAUGGGACUCUCAAUAUGUUCUUAAGAAGCUUCACCCAAUUGAUAGACUAAGUGCCUGUGGAGUGUCUCAAACUUUCAAGUCGAUCAUUGACGCGCAGUGCUCCAAUAUGACGGACUGUGCCGUGGUGUUGAGUAAAGGAUUUGUGGAAUUGAUUAUAAACGAAGCCUGGGUGAAUUAUCGAGAGUGGAUCGACGAAUCUUUUCAAGCCGGAUGCCGUUUGAAGUACGAAGAUCGAGAAAUCAUUCUACCGAACAAAACACCACUGGAGGUUGCUAUGAAGGAUUUAUCAACGUUUAUGCAUGGUCGAGAGUUGAGCCUGGAUAGUUUUAUGGUGACCACCUGGGAAGAAGACAUGGAUUUAUACGAUCCUCUCAUCUCUCUCCUUCAUCAAAUUGGAAGUGUUCCAGCCAAAUAUGUGAUUAUCGAAGGAGCAACUUCCGAGAAGACAGCCCAAAUCCUCCAACAUUUUGAGGCUGGAGUUUUGAAAAAGUUGCGAAUCAGAGCUGAUGUGGCCGAUGCAGCUUCCAUCCAACCUCUGGUGGCGCUCGAUCAAUGGAAAUCAGUGGACAAACUUCAUUUGACCUGUCACGCCAAACAAUUCCAGUUCUUCGUCAAGCAUCUCAAGCAUCUCAAGGCAAUGAAAGUCGACUUUUUUGGACACAAUUUAUCGAAGGGAGAUAUGAUGAAAUUUCGCGAUGAAGUUAUCGUGAAAUCGAGCCGUUUCAAAGUCUACAAGUUCAAGCGAGUUCACUACAGUUCGAAAGAGUUGCUGCAAGUGCUAUGUCCGAUGGAGUCUCCAAUCGAUUCAUUUGGCAAGAUCGACAUUGAAACCGACAACGCUACAUUUUCCAUCGAGUUCGACGACGAUUGGUUCCAGAUCAAGAAAUCUCUGGAAUGAUC
rnacentral:misc_RNA from 1 species